GACGAACGCUGGCGGCGUGCUUAACACAUGCAAGUCGAACGGAAAGGCCCUGCUCUUGUGGGGUGCUCGUGUGGCGAACGGGUGAGUAACACGUGAGUAACCUGUCCUUGACUUUGGGAUAACUUCAGGAAACUGGGGCUAAUACCGGAUAGGAGCUCCUGCUGCAUGGUGGGGGUUGGAAAGUUUCGGCGGUUGGGGAUGGACUCGCGGCUUAUCAGCUUGUUGGUGGGGUAGUGGCUUACCAAGGCUUUGACGGGUAGCCGGCCUGAGAGGGUGACCGGCCACAUUGGGACUGAGAUACGGCCCAGACUCCUACGGGAGGCAGCAGUGGGGAAUAUUGCACAAUAGGCGGAAGCCUGAUGCAGCAACGCCGCGUGCGGGAUGACGGCCUUCGGGUUGUAAACCGCUUUCGCCUGUAACGAAGCGUGAGUGACGGUAAUGAGUAAAGAAGCACCGGCUAACUACGUG
rnacentral:rRNA from 1 species